UUUGGCCUACGGGGCGCAGCAGUGGGGAAUAUUGGGCAAUGGGCGCAAGCCUGACCCAGCAACGCCGCGUGAAGGAAGAAGGCUUUCGGGUUGUAAACUUCUUUUCUCAGGGACGAAGCAAGUGACGGUACAUGAGGAAUAAGCCACGGCUAACUACGUGACAGCAGCCGCGGUAAUACGUAGGUGGCAAGCGUUAUCCGGAUUUACUGGGGGUAAAGGGCGUGUAGGCGGGAAAGCAAGUCAGAUGUGAAAACCAUGGGCUCAACCUGUGGCCUGCAUUUGAAACUGUUUUUCUUGAGUACUGA
rnacentral:rRNA from 1 species